CGAAAUCUCUCUUUUGCGAGAGCGAAACCAGAGACCACAAUCCCACAAUCAUCAAAAGUGGAGGUAGACUAAUUGCAAGUGGUAGGAAACACCAGUCCUAUGAGCCAUCACCUCUUUCUCUUCCGCCACCUGUGGACUUAAAAAGAAAAUGAGAUAAGAGAUGGGUUUCCAAUGAGCUCUCCGAUUCCUACUUCCAAUGGGGGCUUAGUGGGGAUGCUUUUUUGUGGAUGCUUGGUGGAGAAGACAAUGGAGGCUUCGUGGGGAUGGAGAAGAUGAAGACAAAGACUUAUGUGGGGAUGGGUGUUUCGAUGGGAGAUGGAGCCACCAAGC